AAGAUAAGUAUUCUUUUAGACAUCUUCGAGACUAGGAGAUUGAUAGGUUGGGGGUGUAAGAGUAGCAAUGCUUUUAGCUGACCAAUACUAAUAUGUCGAAGUCUUAACCUU
rfam:Cetobacterium ceti strain ATCC 700028 genome assembly, contig: EI52DRAFT_scaffold00009.9